GUAAUAGCGGACAGAUUGGCAGGACCCCUGGGCUGUCUGGAAGAACACGGAGACGCUUCAACUGCCCUAUUCGUGAAGACUUUGCACCAUCCAACUAUUAUGAAGCUAAAUGAGCUACGUAACGGCAAUCCACGAUCAGCAGAACUCGCUGCCAAACAGGUGCCGUACGUUGAAGUGCCCAAGCAGGAUGAUGAUCGGAGCUGGAUUUGUGAGG